AGAGUUUGAUCCUGGCUCAGGAUGAACGCUGGCGGCAUGCCUAAUACAUGCAAGUCGAACGAGAGGAAGGAAAGCUUGCUUUUCUGAAUCUAGUGGCGAACGGGUGAGUAACACGUAGGUAACCUGCCCAUGUGCCCGGGAUAACUUCUGGAAACGGAUGCUAAAACCGGAUAGGUAGCAGACAAGCAUUUGACUGCUAUUAAAGUGGCUUUGGCCAUGAACAUGGAUGGACCUGCGGUGCAUUAGCUGGUUGGUGAGGUAACGGCCCACCAAGGCGACGAUGCAUAGCCGGCCUGAGAGGGCGGACGGCCACAUUGGGACUGAGACACGGCCCAAACUCCUACGGGAGGCAGCAGUAGGGAAUUUUCGUCAAUGGGGGGAACCCUGAACGAGCAAUGCCGCGUGAGUGAGGAAGGUCUUCGGAUCGUAAAGCUCUGUUGUAAGAGAAAAACGGCACUCAUAGGGAAUGAUGAGUGAGUGAUGGUAUCUUACCAGAAAGUCACGGCUAACUACGUGCCAGCAGCCGCGGUAAUACGUAGGUGGCGAGCGUUAUCCGGAAUGAUUGGGCGUAAAGGGUGCGUAGGUGGCAGAUCAAGUCUGGAGUAAAAGGUAUGGGCUCAACCCGUACUGGCUCUGGAAACUGAUCAGCUAGAGAACAGAAGAGGACGGCGGAACUCCAUGUGUAGCGGUAAAAUGCGUAGAUAUAUGGAAGAACACCGGUGGCGAAGGCGGCCGUCUGGUCUGGAUUCUGACACUGAAGCACGAAAGCGUGGGGAGCAAAUAGGAUUAGAUACCCUAGUAGUCCACGCCGUAAACGAUGAGAACUAGGUGUUGGGGGAAUAACUCAGUGCCGCAGUUAACGCAGUAAGUUCUCCGCCUGGGGAGUAUGCACGCAAGUGUGAAACUCAAAGGAAUUGACGGGGGCCCGCACAAGCGGUGGAGUAUGUGGUUUAAUUCGAAGCAACGCGAAGAACCUUACCAGGCCUUGACAUCCCUUGCAGAGGUAUAGAGAUAUAUCCGAGGUUAUCAAGGAGACAGGUGGUGCAUGGUUGUCGUCAGCUCGUGUCGUGAGAUGUUGGGUUAA
rnacentral:rRNA from 1 species